GCGGGACCAUUGGUGUGGGCCUGGGCCCCAUAAGCCCGGAGCGCGGGGUUCGAUUCCCCGUCCCGCU
rnacentral:tRNA from 1 species